rnacentral:rRNA from 1 species
CAGUCGCCACGGGAAUACGAAGGGGGCUAGCGUUGCUCGGAAUGACUGGGCGUAAAGGGCGCGUAGGCGGCGGCCAAAGUCAGGCGUGAAAUUCCCGGGCUCAACCUGGGGGCUGCGUUUGAUACUUGGUUGCUUGAGUGGGGAAGAGGGUCGUGGAAUUCCCAGUGUAGAGGUGAAAUUCGUAGAUAUUGGAAAGAACACCGGUGGCGAAGGCGGCGACCUGGUCUUUAACUGACGCUGAGGCGCGAAAGCGUGGGGAGCAAACAGGAUUAGAUACCCCUGUAGUCCCUGUCUCUUAUAC